rnacentral:rRNA from 1 species
AUUGAACGCUGGCGGCAUGCCUUACACAUGCAAGUCGAACGGUAACGGGCCUUCGGGUGCCGACGAGUGGCGUACGGGUGAGUAAUACAUCGGAACGUGCCCGAUCGUGGGGGAUAACGAGGCGAAAGCUUUGCUAAUACCGCAGACGAUCUACGGAUGGAAGCAGGGGACCGCAAGGCCUUGCUCGGACGGAGCGGCCGAUGGCAGAUUAGGUAGUUGGUGGGAUAAAAGCUUACCAAGCCGACGAUCUGUAGCUGGUCUGAGAGGAUGAUCAGCCACACUGGGACUGAGACACGGCCCAGACUCCUACGGGAGGCAGCAGUGGGGAAUUUUGGACAAUGGGCGCAAGCCUGAUCCAGCCAUGCCGCGUGCAGGAUGAAGGCCUUCGGGUUGUAAAAUGCUUUUGUACGGAACGAAAAGCCUUCUUUUAAUACAGGAGGGUCAUGACGGUACCGUAAGAAUAAGCACCGGCUAACUACGUG